rnacentral:rRNA from 1 species
GUGCCAGCAGCCGCGGUAAUACGGAGGGUGCAAGCGUUGUCCGGAUUUAUUGGGUUUAAAGGGUGCGUAGGCGGCCCUAUAAGUCAGUGGUGAAAACCUGCAGCUCAACUGUAGACGUGCCAUUGAUACUGUAGGGCUUGAGUACAGAUGAGGUAGGCGGAAUUGAAGGUGUAGCGGUGAAAUGCAUAGAUAUCUUCAAGAACACCGAUAGCGAAGGCAGCUUACUAAGGUGUAACUGACGCUGAGGCACGAAAGUGUGGGGAUCAAACAGGAUUAGAUACCCUGGUAGUCCACACUGUAAACGAUGAUUACUCGAUGUUGGCGAUAUACAGCCAGCGUCCAAGCGAAAGCGUUAAGUAAUCCACCUGGGGAGUACGACCGCAAGGUUGAAACUCAAAGGAAUUGACGG